rnacentral:rRNA from 1 species
GGGUUGUGAGGUUAAGCGACUAAGCGUACACGGUGGAUGCCCUGGCAGUCAGAGGCGAUGAAGGGCGUGCUAAUCUGCGAUAAGCGCCGGUAAGGUGAUAUGAACCGUUAUAACCGGCGAUACCCGAAUGGGGAAACCCAGUGUGAUUCGUCACACUAUCAUUAACUGAAUCCAUAGGUUAAUGAGGCGAACCGGGGGAACUGAAACAUCUAAGUACCCCGAGGAAAAGAAAUCAACCGAGAUUCCCCCAGUAGCGGCGAGCGAACGGGGAGGAGCCCAGAGCCUGAAUCAGCAUGUGUGUUAGUGGAAGCGUCUGGAAAGGCGCGCGAUACAGGGUGACAGCCCCGUACACAAAAGCGCAUGUGCUGUGAGCUCGAUGAGUAGGGCGGGACACGUGGUAUCCUGUCUGAAUAUGGGGGGACCAUCCUCCAAGGCUAAAUACUCCUGACUGACCGAUAGUGAACCAGUACCGUGAGGGAAAGGCGAAAAGAACCCCGGCGAGGGGAGUGAAAAAGAACCUGAAACCGUGUACGUACAAGCAGUGGGAGCCCCACCACUAAGCCAGUGGUGAACUCCACAUACGCAUCCUUUGCUGAGGAUACGGUUAACGGAGCGAAAGCGACGUUCAACCGCAAAAGAAGCAGAGGGGGCUUAGUGGUGGGGUGACUGCGUACCUUUUGUAUAAUGGGUCAGCGACUUAUAUUCUGUAGCAAGGUUAACCGAAUAGGGGAGCCGCAGGGAAACCGAGUCUUAAUUGGGCGUUAAGUUGCAGGGUAUAGACCCGAAACCCGGUGAUCUAGCCAUGGGCAGGUUGAAGGUUGGGUAACACUAACUGGAGGACCGAACCGACUAAUGUUGAAAAAUUAGCGGAUGACCUGUGGCUGGGGGUGAAAGGCCAAUCAAACCGGGAGAUAGCUGGUUCUCCCCGAAAGCUAUUUAGGUAGCGCCUCGUGAAUUCAUCUCCGGGGGUAGAGCACUGUUUCGGCUAGGGGGCCAUCCCGGCUUACCAACCCGAUGCAAACUGCGAAUACCGGAGAAUGUUAUCACGGGAGACACACGGCGGGUGCUAACGUCCGUCGUGAAGAGGGAAACAACCCAGACCGCCAGCUAAGGUCCCAAAGUCAUGGUUAAGUGGGAAACGAUGUGGGAAGGCCCAGACAGCCAGGAUGUUGGCUUAGAAGCAGCCAUCAUUUAAAGAAAGCGUAAUAGCUCACUGGUCGAGUCGGCCUGCGCGGAAGAUGUAACGGGGCUAAACCAUGCACCGAAGCUGCGGCAGCGACGCUGAUGCGUUGUUGGGUAGGGGAGCGUUCUGUAAGCCUGUGAAGGUGGCCUGUGAGGGUUGCUGGAGGUAUCAGAAGUGCGAAUGCUGACAUAAGUAACGAUAAAGCGGGUGAAAAGCCCGCUCGCCGGAAGACCAAGGGUUCCUGUCCAACGUUAAUCGGGGCAGGGUGAGUCGACCCCUAAGGCGAGGCCGAAAGGCGUAGUCGAUGGGAAACGGGUUAAUAUUCCCGUACUUGGUGUUACUGCGAAGGGGGGACGGAGAAGGCUAUGUUGGCCGGGCGACGGUUGUCCCGGUUUAAGCGUGUAGGUGUGUGUUCCAGGUAAAUCCGGUUCACUUUAACACUGAGGCGUGACGACGAGGCACUACGGUGCUGAAGCAACAAAUGCCCUGCUUCCAGGAAAAGCCUCUAAGCAUCAGGUAACAUCAAAUCGUACCCCAAACCGACACAGGUGGUCAGGUAGAGAAUACCAAGGCGCUUGAGAGAACUCGGGUGAAGGAACUAGGCAAAAUGGUGCCGUAACUUCGGGAGAAGGCACGCUGACACGUAGGUGAAGUGAUUUACUCAUGGAGCUGAAGUCAGUCGAAGAUACCAGCUGGCUGCAACUGUUUAUUAAAAACACAGCACUGUGCAAACACGAAAGUGGACGUAUACGGUGUGACGCCUGCCCGGUGCCGGAAGGUUAAUUGAUGGGGUCAGCGCAAGCGAAGCUCCUGAUCGAAGCCCCGGUAAACGGCGGCCGUAACUAUAACGGUCCUAAGGUAGCGAAAUUCCUUGUCGGGUAAGUUCCGACCUGCACGAAUGGCGUAAUGAUGGCCAGGCUGUCUCCACCCGAGACUCAGUGAAAUUGAACUCGCUGUGAAGAUGCAGUGUACCCGCGGCAAGACGGAAAGACCCCGUGAACCUUUACUAUAGCUUGACACUGAACAUUGAGCCUUGAUGUGUAGGAUAGGUGGGAGGCUUUGAAGUGUGGACGCCAGUCUGCAUGGAGCCGACCUUGAAAUACCACCCUUUAAUGUUUGAUGUUCUAACGUGGACCCGUUACCCGGGUUGCGGACAGUGUCUGGUGGGUAGUUUGACUGGGGCGGUCUCCUCCUAAAGAGUAACGGAGGAGCACGAAGGUUGGCUAAUCCUGGUCGGACAUCAGGAGGUUAGUGCAAUGGCAUAAGCCAGCUUGACUGCGAGCGUGACGGCGCGAGCAGGUGCGAAAGCAGGUCAUAGUGAUCCGGUGGUUCUGAAUGGAAGGGCCAUCGCUCAACGGAUAAAAGGUACUCCGGGGAUAACAGGCUGAUACCGCCCAAGAGUUCAUAUCGACGGCGGUGUUUGGCACCUCGAUGUCGGCUCAUCACAUCCUGGGGCUGAAGUAGGUCCCAAGGGUAUGGCUGUUCGCCAUUUAAAGUGGUACGCGAGCUGGGUUUAGAACGUCGUGAGACAGUUCGGUCCCUAUCUGCCGUGGGCGCUGGAGAACUGAGGGGGGCUGCUCCUAGUACGAGAGGACCGGAGUGGACGCAUCACUGGUGUUCGGGUUGUCAUGCCAAUGGCACUGCCCGGUAGCUAAAUGCGGAAGAGAUAAGUGCUGAAAGCAUCUAAGCACGAAACUUGCCCCGAGAUGAGUUCUCCCUGAGACUUAGAGUCUCCUGAAGGAACGUUGAAGACGACGACGUUGAUAGGCCGGGUGUGUAAGCGCAGCGAUGCGUUGAGCUAACCGGUACUAAUGAACCGUGAGGCUUAACCUUACAACGCCGAAG